rnacentral:rRNA from 1 species
GCUUACGGCCAUACCAGCCUGAAUACGCCCGAUCUCGUCUGAUCUCGGAAGCUAAGCAGGGUCGGGCCUGGUUAGUACUUGGAUGGGAGACCGCCUGGGAAUACCAGGUGCUGUAAGCG